UGUUUCGGCAAGGGGGUCAUCCCGACUUACCAACCCGAUGCAAACUGCGAAUACCGGAGAAUGUUAUCACGGGAGACACACGGCGGGUGCUAACGUCCGUCGUGAAGAGGGAAACAACCCAGACCGCCAGCUAAGGUCCCAAAGUCAUGGUUAAGUGGGAAACGAUGUGGGAAGGCCCAGACAGCCAGGAUGUUGGCUUAGAAGCAGCCAUCAUUUAAAGAAAGCGUAAUAGCUCACUGGUCGAGUCGGCCUGCGCGGAAGAUGUAACGGGGCUAAACCAUGCACCGAAGCUGCGGCAGCGACGCUUAUGCGUUGUUGGGUAGGGGAGCGUUCUGUAAGCCUGCGAAGGUGUGCUGUGAGGCAUGCUGGAGGUAUCAGAAGUGCGAAUGCUGACAUAAGUAACGAUAAAGCGGGUGAAAAGCCCGCUCGCCGGAAGACCAAGGGUUCCUGUCCAACGUUAAUCGGGGCAGGGUGAGUCGACCCCUAAGGCGAGGCCGAAAGGCGUAGUCGAUGGGAAACAGGUUAAUAUUCCUGUACUUGGUGUUACUGCGAAGGGGGGACGGAGAAGGCUAUGUUGGCCGGGCGACGGUUGUCCCGGUUUAAGCGUGUAGGCUGGUUUUCCAGGCAAAUCCGGAAAACUAAGGCUGAGACGUGAUGACGAGGCACUACGGUGCUGAAGCAACAAAUGCCCUGCUUCCAGGAAAAGCCUCUAAGCAUCAGGUAACAUCAAAUCGUACCCCAAACCGACACAGGUGGUCAGGUAGAGAAUACCAAGGCGCUUGAGAGAACUCGGGUGAAGGAACUAGGCAAAAUGGUGCCGUAACUUCGGGAGAAGGCACGCUGAUAUGUAGGUGAAGUCCCUCGCGGAUGGAGCUGAAAUCAGUCGAAGAUACCAGCUGGCUGCAACUGUUUAUUAAAAACACAGCACUGUGCAAACACGAAAGUGGACGUAUACGGUGUGACGCCUGCCCGGUGCCGGAAGGUUAAUUGAUGGGGUCAGCGCAAGCGAAGCUCUUGAUCGAAGCCCCGGUAAACGGCGGCCGUAACUAUAACGGUCCUAAGGUAGCGAAAUUCCUUGUCGGGUAAGUUCCGACCUGCACGAAUGGCGUAAUGAUGGCCAGGCUGUCUCCACCCGAGACUCAGUGAAAUUGAACUCGCUGUGAAGAUGCAGUGUACCCGCGGCAAGACGGAAAGACCCCGUGAACCUUUACUAUAGCUUGACACUGAACAUUGAGCCUUGAUG
rnacentral:rRNA from 1 species